rnacentral:rRNA from 1 species
UACGGGGGGGGCAAGCGUUGUUCGGAAUUACUGGGCGUAAAGGGCUCGUAGGCGGCCAACUAAGUCAUACGUGAAAUCCCUCGGCUUAACCGGGGAACUGCGUCUGAUACUGGAUGGCUUGAGAUUGGGAGAGGGAUGCGGAAUUCCAGGUGUAGCGGUGAAAUGCGUAGAUAUCUGGAGGAACACCGGUGGCGAAGGCGGCAUCCUGGACCAACACUGACGCUGAGGCGCGAAAGCGUGGGGAGCAAACAGG